CCUACGGGAGGCAGCAGUGAGGAAUAUUGGUCAAUGGGCGCGAGCCUGAACCAGCCAAGAAGCGUGAAGGAUGACUGCCCUACGGGUUGUAAACUUCUUUUAUAAAGGAAUAAAGUGAGGCACGUGUGCCUUUUUGUAUGUACUUUAUGAAUAAGGAUCGGCUAAAUCCGUGCCAGCAGCCGCGGUAAUACGGAGGAUGCGAGCGUUAUCCGGAUUUAUUGGGGUUAAAGGGUGCGUGGGCGGACUGGUAAGUCAGGUGUAAAAGGCCGGGGCAUAAACCGGGCGAGGCAGUUGAAAUGGGCUGUCUUGAGAUGUCGAGAGGUAUGCGGAAUGCGCAGUGUAGCGGUGAAAUGCUUAGAUAUUGCGAAGAACUCCGAUUGCGAAGGCAGCAUACCGGCGGCGAUCUGACGCUGAGGCACGAAAGCGUGGGUAUCGAACAGGAUUAGAUACCCGAGUAGUC
rnacentral:rRNA from 1 species